CUAUUAUAUGCAUUUAUUUUUUAUUGAUACAUUUCUGUUUGUAUGUUAACCACAACAACCUAUCUGUGUGGUUUAUACCAUUUCAAACAAGAAGAAACCUAAAUCAGACAUGUUCUUGGGAGCUAAAUAUAGCAUGAUGGCCAGUCAUCUCUUCCUGAUGGGAGUUGUGUUCCAGAGCCCCUAGAAUGUGAGAGUGUAUCUACAAAUAUUUAC